UACGUAGGGUGCGAGCGUUGUCCGGAAUUAUUGGGCGUAAAGAGCGCGCAGGCGGUCGAUCAAGUCGAGUGUGAAAGCCCCCGGCUCAACUGGGGAGGGUCAUUCGAUACUGAUCGACUCGAAGGCAGGAGAGGGUAGUGGAAUUCCCGGUGUAGUGGUGAAAUGCGUAGAUAUCUGGAGGAACACCGGUGGCGAAGGCGGCAUCCUGGACCGGCAUUGACGCUGAGGCGCGAAAGCCAGGGGAGCAAACGGG
rnacentral:rRNA from 1 species